CCCGCUCAGAAACUCAAAGGAAGUUGACGGGGCCCGCACAAGCGGUGGAGUAUGUGGUUAAUUCGAUGCAACGCGAAGAACCUUACCUGGUCUUGACAUCCCGGAGACCCUUAGGAAACUAGGGGGUGCUUCCAUCUGGAAGAAUCUGGAGACAGGUGCUGCAUGGCUGUCGUCAGCUCGUGUCGUGAGAUGUUGGGUUAAGUCCCGCAACGAGCGCAACCCUUGCCUUUAGUUGCCAACAGUUCGGCUGGGCACUCUAAAGGGACUGCCGGUGUUAAACCGGAGGAAGGUGGGGAUGACGUCAAGUCCUCAUGGCCUUUAUGACCAGGGCUACACACGUACUACAAUGGCCGAUACAAAGGGCAGCGACACUGCGAGGUGAAGCCAAUCCCGUAAAAUCGGUCUCAGUCCGGAUUGGAGUCUGCAACUCGACUCCAUGAAGUUGGAAUCGCUAGUAAUCGUGGAUCAGCAUGCCACGGUGAAUACGUUCCCGGGCCUU
rnacentral:rRNA from 1 species